rnacentral:rRNA from 1 species
CCUACGGGUGGCAGCAGUGAGGAAUAUUGGUCAAUGGACGGAAGUCUGAACCAGCCAAGUAGCGUGCAGGAUGACGGCCCUAUGGGUUGUAAACUGCUUUUGUAUGGGGAUAAAGUCAAUCACGUGUGAUUGUUUGCAGGUACCAUACGAAUAAGGACCGGCUAAUUCCGUGCCAGCAGCCGCGGUAAUACGGAAGGUCCAGGCGUUAUCCGGAUUUAUUGGGUUUAAAGGGAGCGUAGGCUGGAGAUUAAGUGUGUUGUGAAAUGUAGACGCUCAACGUCUGACUUGCAGCGCAUACUGGUUUCCUUGAGUACGCACAACGUUGGCGGAAUUCGUCGUGUAGCGGUGAAAUGCUUAGAUAUGACGAAGAACUCCGAUUGCGAAGGCAGCUGACGGGAGCGCAACUGACGCUUAAGCUCGAAGGUGCGGGUAUCGAACAGGAUUAGAUACCCUAGUAGUC